rnacentral:lncRNA from 1 species
GGGGUUACAUGAAGAUAGCAUUUGACAGCAUAAGGCUAACUUUGGCCCACCAACCUCUGUACGUCAAUUGCAAAAAGAGUAGUAGUGACCCUGAAACAUGAUUAACACGAGACAUAUUUUGCAAGUAAGAGAAAUUCAUCAAACUAAAGGUCAAUCAGAAAAGAAAGCACAUUGAAGAAUUAUGCAUAAUUGAAGAAGUAAAAGAAGUAAACAGCAAAAAUAACUAAUUCAAAGGAAAUGGGACAAUGAUUACAUGAUCCAUAAGUAGACAACUAGAAACUGAACUCAUCCCUCCUCAGGUUCUAGAUGGAGAGGAAGCCAACCACAUGGAUAUUACUAUUACGUAGAAAACUCAUAACUAGAUAAAAGACAAAGACUUUGGAAAUUAAAAGCAAAUGAAGAAAUCGCAUUUUUUUCUUCUCUCGACUAGUGAAUAAAAGGAUUUAACAUGCAUUGUGGUUCAAUCAAAUAUCUAAAACUCCAGGCGUAACAUAUAUAUACCUAUAGUAAGCACUUAAAAUGUGAAGGAAUUUCAAGAAAGUGAAACUGCUUACAACUUCUAUUUCAAGGCAACUUUUAAAAGAUAACCAUGUCCCCAUAUUCAAGUUGCAAAAGGCAAGGAGUGCUUUACAAAUCUUGGAGCUUUUACUGCAAAUAAUUCCAGCUGAAGAGGCAAUUUGAAAAAAGAAAGAUAGUGAAUUCCACCAGAAAAAGCAUGAUAGGACACACCUGACUACCAAGGAAAUUUAGCUUCUUGUCACGGUUUCACAUAUCACAUUGCAAAAGGCAAGGAAUGAUUUAUAACUCUGGAAAAUUUACACUGCAAAUAAAUCCAGCUGAAGAGGAAAUGUGAUAAAAGAUAGAAAGAAAUUGAACUCCACUUGAAAAAGUGUAAUAUGGCAUGCCUGACCGCCAUGGAAACCUAGCUUAUUGUAC